UCUGAGAACUUUCUUCUUGAACUUAUUCAUCAAAGAGAAUUGCUUUAUCCUCGUCCGGACAUUUUGUCCUAGUGAAAAGUGAGAGCCAUUUGUUCAUGUGCUUGACGAAAAGUUCACAAGCAAUUCGACUAAUUCCCUUUACGGCAAAACCAAAAAAGAGAAUAAGAAAACAAGAAAAAUGGACACUAAAGUCAGAUACAAAGCAUGAGCAGAGGAGCAGAAAACGUUUAUCAAUAAAAGAAAUGCAACCAUUUAAUUCAAUUCCAGGGGGUUCAUGAAUCUAGAUACACCCACCAACUAUUCCAAGAGAUCUCAAGUAAUAUCAGCUUCCCCAUGUGUUUAGUUCAUCGAAAGAGUCACAUUAGUUCAGUGUCUACUCUUCCUAUAAUUUUUCUUGACAAACAGCAUCUAAGAUUAACUAGCUUUCAACAAACAGAAAUGCCGUGACUCCCAACUUGUCCAACUUCAACAAGAUCAGAUUUUUCAGCAAAACCCACUUUCUUGCUCGUUCCCCACCAACGCUCAUAGUUCAUGCGAACCCGCUUUCAUUCAAAAAUCAUACCGUUCGCCAUAUACGGGACGUGGGGGGUCGACCACUCCCGCGUUAAUCUCUCACAAUUCAGGCGAAACCUCACGGCCCGAUUCCUUUCUUUUACUUGUAACAUCCCCACCACUUCCUGAAACCAAACGACGAGGGAAAAAACGAAAGCAGAGAAGGAUGACGACAUACCGAGAGAGGACAAAGGAGGCGGUUCGGUGUUGGGGUGAUUAUUGUGGGCACAUUUCUUCUCGCCUGGAAGUCUGCAAUGAUUGCCCCCCCAGAAAAUCUUGAAACCCCCCAGACACAAGCGAUUCAACACGCUCGGUGGAGCGAAGCAGCGAGAUUACGUCGGGCUUCGACUUGACGGGUCGGCCUAAGAUCAUGUAUCCAGAAGUGGGCUCAUCUUCGAUUUUGCCAAGAACGGAAAAAACGGACAAGGGUAGAGAGAGAGAGACAGCCGCAGUUUCACUUCUCGCGUUGCUGCGCUUAGAAUCAGAAGCAAUAAACCAGUGAACUUCUAAUCACAGAUUUAGGUCAAGCUUUCUCCCCCAAAACAAAGAUGCGAACAUAAAACCUCAACCUCGGGAAAUAAAAUCGAACCUGACUCGCAGAUUUAGGGCUUCUCGAGCGACUGCUUUCUUGGUCGCGAGUCGGGGGACGGAGAGAGGCAAGCGAAAUCGGCCGUCGGGAGAGAGCGCGAUUUAGGAAGAAGUGUGCCGAGAGAAUGGAGCCCUAAGAUGAGGCCAUCAAGUGGAGAGAGAAAGGCCGUCGGUGGGAGGGAGCGACGGUGUCGGAGGAAUCGCUAGACCGGAAGGAUUGUCGGAGGAGGAAGAGAGAGCAAAGAGGAGAGAAGAGGGAGCCGAGGGAGCUGAC
rnacentral:lncRNA from 1 species